rnacentral:rRNA from 1 species
UACGGGGGGGGCGAGCGUUGUUCGGAAUUACUGGGCGUAAAGGGCGCGUAGGCGGCUUGUCAAGUCACUUGUGAAAUCUCUGGGCUUAACCCAGAACGGCCAAGUGAAACUGACAUGCUAGAGUGCAGAAGGGGCAAUCGGAAUUCUUGGUGUAGCGGUGAAUGCGUAGAUAUCAAGAGGAACACCUGAGGUGAAGACGGGUUGCUGGGCUGACACUGACGCUGAGGCGCGAAAGCCAGGGGAGCAAACGGG